AGAGUUUGAUCAUGGCUCAGAAUCAACGCUGGCGGCGCGCCUAACACAUGCAAGUCGAACGAGAAAGCCGCAAGGUGAGUAAAGUGGCGUACGGGUGAGUAACACGUGGAUUAUCUGCCCUCUAGUGGGGAAUACCGCUGGGAAACCGGUGACAAUACCGCAUAAGCUCGAGAGAGGAAAGCAGCAAUGCGCUGGAGGAGGAGUCCGCGGUCGAUUAGUUAGUUGGCAGGGUAAAAGCCUACCAAGACUGUGAUCGAUAGCCGGCCUGAGAGGGCACACGGCCACACUGGCACUGAAACACGGGCCAGACUCCUACGGGAGGCAGCAGUGGGGAAUCUUGCACAAUGGGGGAAACCCUGAUGCAGCGACGCCGCGUGAGCGAUGAAGCCCUUCGGGGUGUAAAGCUCUUUCGGCAGGGAAGAUUAUGACGGUACCUGCAGAAGCAGCUGCGGCUAACUACGUGCCAGCAGCCGCGGUAAUACGUAGGCAGCAAGCGUUGUUCGGAGUUACUGGGCGUAAAGGGUGCGUAGGCGGCUUUUUAAGUUUGGUGUGAAAUCUCCCGGCUCAACUGGGAGGGUGCGCCGAAUACUGAGAGGCUAGAGUGCGGGAGAGGAAAGUGGAAUUCCUGGUGUAGCGGUGAAAUGCGUAGAUAUCAGGAGGAACACCGGUGGUGUAAACGGCUUUCUGGACCGUAACUGACGCUGAGGCACGAAAGCGUGGGUAGCAAACAGGAUUAGAUACCCUAGUAGUCC
rnacentral:rRNA from 1 species